rnacentral:rRNA from 1 species
UUUCCAUCAUUCAACCGAUCAGCUCUGUGGUCUGCCACCGCGCUACCGUGCGCAACACUGCGGAGUGUGUCGGUGGUGGUCGCUGCGGAGUGGAGCUAGGCCCGUGUGAUCGGUGCAUUUGAUGGCGGUAUGCGCCGAGAGCCGCGUCACAGUGUGCGUCGAUGUCUGCCUGAUGCAGUGGACCGUUGUCGGUCUUUGCGGACGGGCGGAAACCUGCAUUCGACCGAGGCGUAUCACUGAUGCGGUGAACAGCCGUGUACAGCAGUCCCCACCCGCGUCUUGCCAUCGUCGGACUGACCCUGUGGCGGUGCGCACUGCGUGCCUGUUCGGUGUGCAGUGCGUCCGGUUCGGGUCUGGCCACGGUGGCCGGUGUACGCGUUGGGACUGUGUCUCGGUGUGAGUGUCGAUCACCUAUUCGACCCGUCUUGAAACACGGACCAAGGAGGCUAGCAUACGCGCAAGCUAUUGGGUGGUAAACCCGUAGAGAGCGCAAUGAAAGUGAAAUCGGCCGGUUGGACGGUCGCAAACUGUGAGCCAGACGACUCCGUCGGGCGCAACAGUGCCCCGUCUCGGUUGCCGUUGGCAACGGGGCGGAGGUAGAGCGCGUAUGCUGGGACCCGAAAGAUGGUGAACUAUGCCUGAGCAGGAUGAAGCCAGAGGAAACUCUGGUGGAGGUCCGAAGCGAUUCUGACGUGCAAAUCGAUCGUCU